GACGAACGCUGGCGGCGUGCUUAACACAUGCAAGUCGAACGGAAAGGCCCCUUUGGGGGUACUCGAGUGGCGAACGGGUGAGUAACACGUGAGUAACCUGCCCUUGACUUCGGGAUAACUUCAGGAAACUGGGGCUAAUACCGGAUAGGAAUCCUUGCUGCAUGGUGGGGGUUGGAAAGCUUCGGCGGUUUUGGAUGGACUCACGGCUUAUCAGCUUGUUGGUGGGGUAGUGGCUUACCAAGGCUUUGACGGGUAGCCGGCCUGAGAGGGCGACCGGCCACAUUGGGACUGAGAUACGGCCCAGACUCCGACGGGAGGCAGCAGUGAGGAAUAUUGCACAAUGGGCGGAAGCCUGAUGCAGCGACGCCGCGGGCGGAAUGACGGCCUUCGGGUUGUAAGCCGCUUUCAGCAGGGGCGAAGCUUGUGGUGACGGUACCUGCAGAAGAAGCACCGGCUAGAUACGUG
rnacentral:rRNA from 1 species